ACGAAGGGUGCAAGCGUUACUCGGAAUCACUGGGCGUAAAGCGUGCGUAGGCGGUUCGUUAAGUCUGCUGUGAAAGCCCUGGGCUCAACCUGGGAACUGCAGUGGAUACUGGCGGACUAGAGUGUGAUAGAGGAUGGUGGAAUUCCCGGUGUAGCGGUGAAAUGCGUAGAGAUCGGGAGGAACACCAGUGGCGAAGGCGGCCAUCUGGAUCAACACUGACGCUGAGGCACGAAAGCGUGGGGAGCAAACAGGA
rnacentral:rRNA from 1 species